rnacentral:rRNA from 1 species
AAUUUUGGACAAAGGGCGCAAGCCUGACCCAGCCAUGCCGCGUGAGUGAGGAAGGCCUCCGGGUUGUAAAGCUCUUUCGGACGGUAAGAAAUCGCGCAGGCUAAUACCCUGCGUGGAGGACGGUAACGACAUAAGAAGCACCGGCUAACUACGUGCGAGCAGCCGCGGUAUUUCGUAGGGUGCAAGCGUUAAUCGGAAUUACUGGGCGUAAAGCGUGCGCAGGCGGUUCGGAAAGAAUGAUGUAAAUUCCCAGGGCUCAACCUUGGAACUGCAUUCGUAACUACCGAACUAGAGUAAGUCAGAGGGGGGUAGAAUUCCGCGUGUAGCAGUGAAAUGCGUAGAUAUGCAGAGGAAUACCGAUGGCGAAGGCAGCCCCCUGGGAUAAUACUGACGCUCAUGCACGAAAGCGUGGGUAGCAAACAGG